CCAAUAGCGUAUAUUAAAGUUGUUGCAGUUAAAAAGCUCGUAGUUGAAUUUCGGGAUUGACACAUCGGUCGUGCCUUAAGGGGUAUGAACUGGUGUAGUCAAUUUCUCACCUUCUGGAGAACCGCGAUGCCCUUAAUUGGGUGUCGCGGGGAACCAGGACCUUUACUUUGAAAAAAUUAGAGUGUUUAAAGCAGGCAUUUUGCUUGAAUACCUUAGCCUGGAAUAAUAAAAUAGGACGGCAUGAUUCUAUUUUGUUGGUUUCUAGGAUCACCGUAAUGAUUAAUAGGGAUAGUUGGGGGCAUUAGUAUUCAAUUGUCAGAGGUGAAAUUCUUGGAUUUAUUGAAGACUAACGACUGCGAAAGCAUUUGCCAAGGAUGUUUUCAUUAAUCAAGAACGAAAGUUAGGGGAUCGAAGACGAUCAGAUACCGUCGUAGUCUUAACCAUAAACUAUGCCGACUAGGAAUCAGACGAUGUUAAUUUUUUAAUGACUCGUUUGGCACCUUACG
rnacentral:rRNA from 1 species